AGCGAAGUAUAAUCUAGCAAAUUAUACAUUUAGCCGCCAUGGUAUGGUAAUAUGUAGCCGAAGUACAGGAUGACCGCCUCGUAAGAUUACCAGUAAAGCCCACAG
rnacentral:ncRNA from 1 species